rnacentral:rRNA from 1 species
UACGUAGGGUGCGAGCGUUGUCCGGAAUUACUGGGCGUAAAGAGCUCGUAGGUGGUUUGUCGCGUUGUUCGUGAAAACUCACAGCUCAACUGUGGGCGUGCGGGCGAUACGGGCAGACUAGAGUACUGCAGGGGAGACUGGAAUUCCUGGUGUAGCGGUGGAAUGCGCAGAUAUCAGGAGGAACACCGGUGGCGAAGGCGGGUCUCUGGGCCGAUACUGACGCUGGAGGAGCGAAAGCGUGGGGAGCGAACAGG